rnacentral:rRNA from 1 species
GGGUUGUGAGGUUAAGCGACUAAGCGUACACGGUGGAUGCCCUGGCAGUCAGAGGCGAUGAAGGACGUGCUAAUCUGCGAAAAGCGUCGGUAAGGUGAUAUGAACCGUUAUAGCCGGCGAUGUCCGAAUGGGGAAACCCAGUGCAAUUCGUUGCACUAUCGUUUGAUGAAUACAUAGUCAAACGAGGCGAACCGGGGGAACUGAAACAUCUAAGUACCCCGAGGAAAAGAAAUCAACCGAGAUUCCCCCAGUAGCGGUGAGCGAACGGGGAGCAGCCCGGAGUCUGAAUCAGCUUGUGUGUUAGUGGAAGCGUCUGGAAAGUCGCAGGGUACAGGGUGAUACUCCCGUACACUAAAACACACAGGCUGUGAACUCGAAGAGUAGGGCGGGACACGUGGUAUCCUGUCUGAAUAUGGGGGGACCAUCCUCCAAGGCUAAAUACUCCUGACUGACCGAUAGUGAACCAGUACCGUGAGGGAAAGGCGAAAAGAACCCCGGCGAGGGGAGUGAAAAAGAACCUGAAACCGUGUACGUACAAGCAGUAGGAGCCUCUUUAUGGGGUGACUGCGUACCUUUUGUAUAAUGGGUCAGCGACUUAUAUUCUGUAGCAAGGUUAACCGUAUAGGGGAGCCGCAGGGAAACCGAGUCUUAACUGGGCGUUAAGUUGCAGGGUAUAGACCCGAAACCCGGUGAUCUAGCCAUGGGCAGGUUGAAGGUUGGGUAACACUAACUGGAGGACCGAACCGACUAAUGUUGAAAAAUUAGCGGAUGACUUGUGGCUGGGGGUGAAAGGCCAAUCAAACCGGGAGAUAGCUGGUUCUCCCCGAAAGCUAUUUAGGUAGCGCCUCGUGAACUCAUCUUCGGGGGUAGAGCACUGUUUCGGCUAGGGGGUCAUCCCGACUUACCAACCCGAUGCAAACUACGAAUACCGAAGAAUGUUAUCACGGGAGACACACGGCGGGUGCUAACGUCCGUCGUGAAGAGGGAAACAACCCAGACCGCCAGCUAAGGUCCCAAAGUCAUGGUUAAGUGGGAAACGAUGUGGGAAGGCCCAGACAGCCAGGAUGUUGGCUUAGAAGCAGCCAUCAUUUAAAGAAAGCGUAAUAGCUCACUGGUCGAGUCGGCCUGCGCGGAAGAUGUAACGGGGCUAAACCAUGCACCGAAGCUGCGGCAGCGACACUAUGUGUUGUUGGGUAGGGGAGCGUUCUGUAAGCCGUUGAAGGUGGCCUGUGAGGGUUGCUGGAGGUAUCAGAAGUGCGAAUGCUGACAUAAGUAACGAUAAUGCGGGUGAAAAACCCGCACGCCGGAAGACCAAGGGUUCCUGUCCAACGUUAAUCGGGGCAGGGUGAGUCGACCCCUAAGGCGAGGCCGAAAGGCGUAGUCGAUGGGAAACAGGUUAAUAUUCCUGUACUCGGUGUUACUGCGAAGGGGGGACGGAGAAGGCUAUGUUGGCCGGGCGACGGUUGUCCCGGUUUAAGCAUGUAGGCGGAUGUUCCAGGUAAAUCCGGAACGUUAUUAACGCUGAGGUGUGAUGACGAGGCACUACGGUGCUGAAGUGACAAAUGCCCUGCUUCCAGGAAAAGCCUCUAAGCAUCAGGUAACAUCAAAUCGUACCCCAAACCGACACAGGUGGUCAGGUAGAGAAUACCAAGGCGCUUGAGAGAACUCGGGUGAAGGAACUAGGCAAAAUGGUGCCGUAACUUCGGGAGAAGGCACGCUGAUAUGUAGGUGAAGUGGUUUACCCAUGGAGCUGAAAUCAGUCGAAGAUACCAGCUGGCUGCAACUGUUUAUUAAAAACACAGCACUGUGCAAACACGAAAGUGGACGUAUACGGUGUGACGCCUGCCCGGUGCCGGAAGGUUAAUUGAUGGGGUUAUCCGUAAGGAGAAGCUCUUGAUCGAAGCCCCGGUAAACGGCGGCCGUAACUAUAACGGUCCUAAGGUAGCGAAAUUCCUUGUCGGGUAAGUUCCGACCUGCACGAAUGGCGUAAUGAUGGCCAGGCUGUCUCCACCCGAGACUCAGUGAAAUUGAACUCGCUGUGAAGAUGCAGUGUACCCGCGGCAAGACGGAAAGACCCCGUGAACCUUUACUAUAGCUUGACACUGAACACUGGUCCUUGAUGUGUAGGAUAGGUGGGAGGCUUUGAAGUGUGGACGCCAGUCUGCAUGGAGCCAUCCUUGAAAUACCACCCUUUAAUGGCUGGUGUUCUAACGUGGGCCCGUUAUCCGGGUUGCGGACAGUGUCUGGUGGGUAGUUUGACUGGGGCGGUCUCCUCCUAAAGAGUAACGGAGGAGCACGAAGGUCAGCUAAUCCUGGUCGGACAUCAGGAGGUUAGUGCAAUGGCAUAAGCUGGCUUGACUGCGAGCGUGACGGCGCGAGCAGGUGCGAAAGCAGGUCAUAGUGAUCCGGUGGUUCUGAAUGGAAGGGCCAUCGCUCAACGGAUAAAAGGUACUCCGGGGAUAACAGGCUGAUACCGCCCAAGAGUUCAUAUCGACGGCGGUGUUUGGCACCUCGAUGUCGGCUCAUCACAUCCUGGGGCUGAAGUAGGUCCCAAGGGUAUGGCUGUUCGCCAUUUAAAGUGGUACGCGAGCUGGGUUUAGAACGUCGUGAGACAGUUCGGUCCCUAUCUGCCGUGGGCGCUGGAGAAUUGAGGGGGGCUGCUCCUAGUACGAGAGGACCGGAGUGGACGCAUCACUGGUGUUCGGGUUGUCAUGCCAAUGGCAUUGCCCGGUAGCUAAAUGCGGAAGAGAUAAGUGCUGAAAGCAUCUAAGCACGAAACUUGCCCCGAGAUGAGUUCUCCCUGACCCUUUAAGGGUCCUGAAGGAACGUUGAAGACGACGACGUUGAUAGGCCGGGUGUGUAAGCGCAGCGAUGCGUUGAGCUAACCGGUACUAAUGAACCGUGAGGCUUAACCUUACAACGCCGAAG